rnacentral:rRNA from 1 species
GACGAACGCUGGCGGCGUGCUUAACACAUGCAAGUCGAACGAUGUCGACCGAGCUUGCUCGGUCUGAUUAGUGGCGAACGGGUGAGUAACACGUGAGCAACCUGCCCUUCACUCUGGGAUAACCUCGGGAAAUCGGGGCUAAUACCGGAUAUGAGCUCCUGUCGCAUGGCGGGUGUUGGAAAGUUUUUCGGUGAAGGAUGGGCUCGCGGCCUAUCAGUUUGUUGGUGAGGUAGUGGCUCACCAAGGCGAUGACGGGUAGCCGGCCUGAGAGGGCGACCGGCCACACUGGGACUGAGACACGGCCCAGACUCCUACGGGAGGCAGCAGUGGGGAAUAUUGCACAAUGGGCGAAAGCCUGAUGCAGCGACGCCGCGUGAGGGAUGACGGCCUUCGGGUUGUAAACCUCUUUCAGCAGGGAAGAAGCGAAAGUGACGGUACCUGCAGAAGAAGCGCCGGCUAACUACGUG